CCGUCCCCGUGCCCGUGGUUUCCCGGCGAAUCUGUGUCGUCCCGGGGACCCGGGUCCUCGUCCGGGGGACGGGGGACGGAGAGCAAUGCCCGCCCUCACUAGGAGAGGGGCCCUGAGUCCUGGGCCUCCCCUUAAAGGCAAGGCGGUACACG